rnacentral:rRNA from 1 species
GGGCCCGCACAAGCGGAGGAGCAUGUGGUUUAAUUCGAUGGUACGCGAGGAACCUUACCUGGGUUAGAACGUAUGAUAGAUGUAGCUGAAAGGUUACAGACCUGCGAGGGAUAUCAUACGAGGUGCUGCAUGGUUGUCGUCAGCUCGUGCCGUGAGGUGUUUGGUUAAGUCCAGCAACGAGCGCAACCCCUACCUUUAGUUGCCAGCAGGUAAAGCUGGGGACACUAGAGGGACUGCCUGCGCAAGCAGAGAGGAAGGUGGGGAUGACGUCAAAUCAGCACGGCCCUUAUGUCCAGGGCUACACACGUGCUACAAUGGUAACUACAGAGGGCAGCGACUAGGCGACUAGGAGCGAAUCUCGAAAAGUUAUCUCAGUUCGGAUUGGAGUCUGCAACUCGACUCCAUGAAGGUGGAUUCGCUAGUAAUCGCGCAUCAGCAAUGGCGCGGUGAAUACGUUCCCGGGCCUU